GCGCGACUCCGUUGUCCAAUCUUGUAACGUUUCUCUAAUAAUUUAUCUCGCGCCGUGACUCACGUGCUCGCCGUCCUUUUAUUAAGCCGUAAAUUAAUUCUUUCAAAUUGAGCUCUCCCAUCGUAGACCGUGCUCCCAUCGCAGCCCAGAGCCCAACCGGGAUCGUAAAAAUUUAAAUGCAGCGGUAGGAAGUUGAGCCGCAGCUGCUCGAAAAUGUGGGAGGCAGUGACUCACGAGAAAUCCGAAUCGGCAUGCGACCGAGUGGUGGGAACUAAAACAUCCGUAGAUCGAUGAUUCGUCUCGAAAGAGAAACAGCGCUCGACUCAAGGGAACGCCAUCGCACAAAGUUGUAUGCAAUGAGUGCAUACGGAAUGACUAGCUGCAUCGGAGCAAACACGCUGAUCCGAAUACGUUACGUGAUUCACGCGUGAGGAGACUUCCAUGAAACGUUCUUUAGGAAGACACGCUGAUUCAGGAAGAUUCUUGGAAAGCUAUUCACUCCUCCGCGAGGAAUUACUUAUGAAUCAACGUAGUUGCAUCUCUCGUACAAAUGGAGAUUCCGAGCGUCAUAGUGUCAGUUAUAGCACCCCCGAGUUCGUCGAGUUACCGUAACAUCCCCUCAGUGAAAAUACUUAAUUUACAAGAGAAGAAAGAAUGUUUUUAAACACAGUUGUAUCGUCGGCAAAACACCUGGAACAGGCGGCCAGCGACCUCGUUCUCGAGAGAUUAAAAUUUAUACCAGGCCUGCGUUGCCGUUCUCGACCUGCACCUGCUGCCCUGCCGCCGUCGGCCGCGCUAUAAUCUUAUCGAACGACGUUGAUCCGCCCCAGCCCCGGUCGUUGCCAUUGCUAUUGUUGUAGGUCGGAAUGGAUCUCGCCCCUAUGCGCCCGUGCGUUUUUACGAGACAGGGGAUGCAUUUCGCAACAGAGUAUCUCUGAUAUUAAUCCUCGAUUAUAUAAUUAAUGAAUUUUGCAGAAAGACUCAAAUACAGAAAUGAUUCUGAUAAAUACUAUCAAAAGAU